AAAAACACAAACAAACAAAAUUAGAAGUAAUUAAGUUUCCUAUGUCUUUGCUGCUGUCCUAUUGUUAUUGUUGUCCCUUACCCUCCUAAAUGCCUUACCCUCAUUGUUGUAUUCACUUCAUAAACAGCCUGGGCCAGCGGCUUGAAGGUGGGAGCAGGAUCGAAUAGCAAUGGAA
rnacentral:ribozyme from 1 species